rnacentral:rRNA from 1 species
GUCUACGGCCAUACCACCCUGAACGCGCCUGAUCUCGUCUGAUCUCGGAAGCUAAGCAGGGUCGGGCCUGGUUAGUACUUUGAUGGGAAACCAUCCUUGUAUCCUGGGACUAAAUC